AUUCUCGGACGAGGAACUAUACGUCGAUGAGCUUUAAAAAAUGACAGGCAAGGGUCAAGAAAAGGCUAAGAAACCAAAGAGGAGGGUAGAAGAUAAUCCUCCAUCUUUUCCUGCCUCUUCAGAGAUGCCUAUGCCUAUGCCUCCACCCCAGGGAUAUUCUGAGCUCCCACAACAUCACCAGCCCUACACCUUCGUGCAGACACCAGGUCUUUCGUCACAGGGCCAUAGGAUUGUACGUCCGACAUACAGUCCAGCUAUCGCACGACCACGUGGAUCGCAACCAUCUGCAUUGCAUGGAUCGCGUCGAUCCAUGUCACAUCCACAUGGAUCACAGGCAUCAGUGUCACAGCCACUCAAGUCAUAGCUAUCAGUGUCAUGUCCACUUGCGGGCCAUACAGCUAUGUCGCAGUCAUAGGGCUCGCAGUCAUCUUCAUCUUAAACUUCACCUAUUUCAGGCCUUCGCCUGCGAGAUACUAGCUCUGACCCCCCUACACCUUCCACACAUGCCUCUGAUAUACAUGCUUCGGACGGUGAUGCUGAUGAUGACAAGGAGGUGCAUUAUGAUCAGUAUGGCAGGAUCAUCAUAGUCCCUGAGGGUGAUGAGUUCAUUCCUAAUAAUAUUAUUACAAGGAUUAUCACCAAAGCCACCAGAAAGCUUUAUGAUGGCCCUUAUGCGUCUUGGAGUGAUUUUUCAUUUGUGCUGAAGGAGCAAAUUUUCAACGACUUUAAGCGCAGAUGUGGCUGCAAAUUUUCAUCUCAAAGCUCGCAAGCGGUUGUCGCAUUGUUUCUCUAAAGCUAGAAAGUUGAACCAGAAGCCUGGCUGGUUGCUUCAGAAUUUAUGGGAGGAUUUAUAAAGGCAAUGACUUACCACAGAGUUCUUAGAGAAGAGCGAAAAAGGAAAGAAAGCUCGUGCAUCUGAGAAGGGAGGAUCCUUGCACACCGGAGGUGCGAUCAGCCUAGGGACAAUAAAGAGAAGAAUGGAGAAGAAGUUGGGGCGUCUGAUGAACCAAGAUGAGCUAUUCAAGGAGACUCAUAUUGUAAAGAAGAAGAAAGAGACGGAUCAAGAAAGGUGGGUCGAGGGCCGAGCCUCGACUGUACAUAGUCGCUUCACAGCUGAAGUGGAGAAAUUCAUACGCAGUCAGCCACCUAGUGAGUCGGACAACCCAAUCCAUCCUUCGGAUGAGGAUGCUGAAAGAAUCUGGAUGCAGGCUGCUGGGGGUCCAAAAUGAGGGAAGGUAUACGGGAUUCCUACUAAGAAAUUUCAUCGCUAUAAGUAUGGAAUGCAAGGUAUAGGGACUUCCUCGCAAGCCGAACAACUUAAUGGGGAGAACCUCUCCUCUAUGCGGGAGAAUGUGACAAAGCUCACAUCCGAGCUAGAAGCCGCCAAGGAGAGAGAAAAGAUUAGAGAUGCUCAGUACAUUGGCAUGCAAGAGCAUAUCAAAUCUCUCCUAGCUUCUGGCAGUUUUCCGAUUCCCCGGUCGUGAUUCAUCGCCAGAGGCUCGCCUUCCCCGUGCUCAUUCCUCUCGUCCUCCCCGUGAUUCCCAUCCUAGACAAGUACACCCUUUUGGAUACCAUCUUGGUGAAAGUUCAGCAGACAGUGAUGAUAAUGAUGUACAAAACAAUCCUUGACUUUUAUACACUUUCAACUAGACAAAUACAAUCGGUUUUCGAAUGGACUUGUAAUAACAAUUAACUUAGUUUGGUUAGCUUAAUAUGUUACUUCUAUUGAACUUUA